CCACGUACGCUGGCAGCAACAAGAACAGUGAGAAGAUGAAAACUUAAACUGAGGAGACUGGUCCCAGGCUUGAGAAAGAGGCCUGUGUGUUAAGAACUGUAACAUCCGGUGGGGGAAUUAAAGAAGAUGGCAAGAAUAUCAGAAAGCAGUCCAGCGAACGAAGGAACAGCUGAAACAUUCUUGGAGCUCAGAAAACAGGAGAUGACACACAGACGUCUGGUUCUUCACCCAGCAUACGGUAGUGAUGCAGGUCUUUCAUCAUCUUCAUGUACUUAGUCAGGAGACGGAUCCUUCCGCUGCGUCAGUCGGCUCCCAGAUGGCUGCA